GAUGAACGCUGGCGGCGUGCCUAAUACAUGCCAGUCGAGCGAACAGAUAAGGAGCUUGCUCCUUUGACGUUAGCGGCGGACGGGUGAGUAACACGUGGGUAACCUACCUAUAAGACUGGGAUAACUUCGGGAAACCGGAGCUAAUACCGGAUAAUAUUUCGAACCGCAUGGUUCGAUAGUGAAAGAUGGUUUUGCUAUCACUUAUAGAUGGACCCGCGCCGUAUUAGCUAGUUGGUAAGGUAACGGCUUACCAAGGCGACGAUACGUAGCCGAACUGAGAGGGUGAUCGGCCACACUGGAACUGAGACACGGUCCAGACUCCUACGGGAGGCAGCAGUAGGGAAUCUUCCGCAAUGGGCGAAAGCCUGACGGAGCAACGCCGCGUGAGUGAUGAAGGUCUUCGGAUCGUAAAACUCUGUUAUUAGGGAAGAACAUACGUGUAAGUAACUGUGCACGUCUUGACGGUACCUAAUCAGAAAGCCACGGCUAACUACGUG
rnacentral:rRNA from 1 species